UACGUAGGUGGCAAGCGUUGUCCGGAUUUACUGGGCGUAAAGGGCGUGCAGGCGGUUUGUUAAGUGCUGAGUGAAAGCUCCCGGCUCAACUGGGAGAGGUCUUUGCAUACUGGCAAACUCGAGGGAGGCAGAGGAAAGUGGAAUUCCCGGUGUAGUGGUGAUAUGCGUAGAUAUCGGGAGGAACACCUGUGGCGAAGGCGGCUUUCUGGGCCUUACCUGACGCUGAGACGCGAAAGCGUGGGGAGCGAACCGG
rnacentral:rRNA from 1 species